UACGUAGGGUGCGAGCGUUGUCCGGAAUUAUUGGGCGUAAAGAGCUCGUAGGCGGUGUGUCGCGUCGGCCGUGAAAACCUGGGGCUCAACUCUGGGCGUGCGGUCGAUACGGGCAUCACUGGAGUUCGGCAGGGGAGACUGGAAUUCCUGGUGUAGCGGUGAAAUGCGCAGAUAUCAGGAGGAACACCGGUGGCGAAGGCGGGUCUCUGGGCCGAUACUGACGCUGAGGAGCGAAAGCAUGGGUAGCGAACAGGG
rnacentral:rRNA from 1 species